GGGGUUGUGGCUCAGUGGUAGAGUGCUCGCCUAGCACAUGUGAGGCCCUGGGUUCGAUUCCCAGCACCACA
rnacentral:tRNA from 1 species